GUAGGGAAUCUUCCACAAUGGACGCAAGUCUGAUGGAGCAACGCCGCGUGAAUGAAGAAGGUCUCGGAUCGUAAAGCUCUGUUGUUGGUGAAGAAGGAUAGAGGCAGUAACUGGUCUUUAUUUGACGGUAAUCAACCAGAAAGUCACGGCUAACUACGUGCCAGCAGCCGCGGUAAUACGUAGGUGGCAAGCGUUGUCCGGAUUUAUUGGGCGUAAAGCGAGCGCAGGCGGAAUGAUAAGUCUGAUGUGAAAGCCCACGGCUCAACCGUGGAACUGCAUCGGAAACUGUCAUUCUUGAGUGCAGAAGAGGAGAGUGGAACUCCAUGUGUAGCGGUGGAAUGCGUAGAUAUAUGGAAGAACACCAGUGGCGAAGGCGGCUCUCUGGUCUGCAACUGACGCUGAGGCUCGAAAGCAUGGGUAGCGAACAGGAUUAGAUACCCUGGUAGUCCAUGCCGUAAACGAUGAGCGCUAGGUGUUGGGGCAC
rnacentral:rRNA from 1 species